UACGUAGGGGGCAAGCGUUGUCCGGAUUUAUUGGGCGUAAAGAGCGUGUAGGCGGUUAUACAGGUCCGCUGUGAAAGUCGGGGGGCUCAACCCUCGAAUGCCGGUGGAUACUGUCGGGCUAGAGUGCGGAAGAGGCGAGUGGAAUUCCUGGUGUAGCGGUGAAAUGCGCAGAUAUCAGGAGGAACACCGAUUGCGAAGGCAGCUCGCUGGGACGUCACUGACGCUGAGACGCGAAAGCGUGGGGAGCAAACAGG
rnacentral:rRNA from 1 species